ACAGCAGUAGCCGCGGGAAUACGGAGGGGGCUAGCGCUGUUCGGAAUUACUGGGCGUAAAGCGCACGUAGGCGGCUUGGUAAGUUAGAGGUGAAAGCCUGGAGCUCAACUCCAGGAUUGCCUUUAAGACUGCCGAGCUAGCAGGUGAGAGAGGUAAGUGGAAUUCCGAGUGUAGAGGUGAAAUUCGUAGAUAUUCGGAAGAACACCAGUGGCGAAGGCGGCUUACUGGCUCAUACUGGACGCUGAGGUGCGAAAGCGUGGGGAGCAAACAGGAUUAGAUACCCCAGUAGUCCCUGUCUCUUAUAC
rnacentral:rRNA from 1 species